ACCUGGGCAAGGAGGCAUGACUUCCUAAUUGAGGAUCUGGAGGACUAUUUUCACAGGUGAGAUUAAUAUUAAAAUCAAUCAACUUCAACUAAAGCAGAGAACCCUCCGUGAUGCAGGUGGGCCUCAUCCAAUCAGUUGAAGACCUUAAGAGAAAAAGACCAAGGUGGCCUGAGAAAGAAUGAAUUCGACCUCCAGGGCGCCUUCAGAUUCACAGCUGUAACAGCAGGUCUACCCCAGUCUCUAGCCUACCAGCCUACUGGCCUUCCUUGCAGAUUUCAGACUUGUCAACCUCCAUAAAAAAUGUAUUCCUUUACCGCCUGCACCUAAAGAAGCUGCCCCUGCGCCUGCCC